rnacentral:rRNA from 1 species
AGCGAACGCUGGCGGCAGGCCUAACACAUGCAAGUCGAACGGAUCCUUCGGGAUUAGUGGCGGACGGGUGAGUAACACGUGGGAACGUGCCCUUUGGUACGGAACAACUCCGGGAAACUGGAGCUAAUACCGUAUGUGCCCUUCGGGGGAAAGAUUUAUCGCCUUUGGAUCGGCCCGCGUCUGAUUAGCUAGUUGGUGGGGUAAUGGCCUACCAAGGCGACGAUCAGUAGCUGGUCUGAGAGGAUGAUCAGCCACACUGGGACUGAGACACGGCCCAGACUCCUACGGGAGGCAGCAGUGGGGAAUAUUGGACAAUGGGCGCAAGCCUGAUCCAGCCAUGCCGCGUGAGUGAUGAAGGCCUUAGGGUUGUAAAGCUCUUUCGCCAGGGACGAUAAUGACGGUACCUGGAUAAGAAGCCCCGGCUAACUUCGUGCCAGCCGCCGCGGUAAGAC